rnacentral:rRNA from 1 species
UACGUAGGGAGCAAGCGUUGUUCGGAUUUACUGGGCGUAAAGGGCGCGUAGGCGGCGCGGUAAGUCACUUGUGAAAUCUCUGAGCUUAACUCAGAAUGGCCAAGUGAUACUGCAGUGCUAGAGUGCAGAAAGGGCAAUCGGAAUUCUUGGUGUAGCGGUGAAAUGCGUAGAUAUCAAGAGGAACACCUGAGGCGAAGGCGGGUUGCUAGGCUGACACUGACGCUGAGUGCGCGAAAGCCAGGGGAGCAAACGGG